GGGAUAUCUUCUCUGUGAAAAAGCACUUGCUUGUACUUUUAAAGCUCGUGCACGAGCCUGUGCUAUGUGCGCGCGGGCAAAGCGUGGAUUUAUAUUGAAUUGUAAAACACCGCACUUGCGCGGAUGCAGCAUAGGAGUCUGCUCGUUGAUUUCAGGUAUCGCCUUCCAUUCGCCCCGCGCCCGAUGCUGGAAGAGUCAUCUCCCACACUGACUGGAUACAUGAAGACUUUCCCGUAAAUGACAUCUCCCCCGCUAUAACGGGCCGGAAGAUAAUUACUGCGUUGACGUGUUGAUAUACAUAUAUUUAAAAUAUCAAAUAUGAAUCAUGCAUUUGAUAUUUCUAGCAAAUUUGCUCGUGAGCAUCCUUGCAGCCGGACUCCAUUCAUCCAUAGCAUCAAUCGGAGGAGAGAAUGAGGUGGUGGAGAGAGACGCAGAACCAUUAUCGUCGGAGCGAGAGGCAACUGCAGCAGCGGCCACAGACAACACAAGUCACAGUGCGACUGAGCAUGUGAUCACUUACCCCUCUCGGCUCAUCUAUUACCUGAAGGAGGACUCAGAGAGCACUUAUCAUGACCUGGACACCCGGGCUAGAAACCAGGGCACAGAGGGUCAUGACCAGGCAGUCCAUCUUGCCCAAGCCAGUUUCCAGUUAGAUGCCUUUGGCUCCAAAUUUGUACUGGACCUAACGUUAAACAAUGACUUGUUGUCGUCGGAUUAUGUGGAGAUCCACUAUGAGGAGGGUAAACCUGUUCUAUCAAAGGGUGGUGAACACUGUUACUACCACGGCCAGGUGAGGGGGAAAGAUGAUUCCCACGUGGCCUUGUCUACCUGCAAUGGGCUGCACGGAAUGUUUGACGAUGGACUCUAUCUCUAUAUAAUGGAGCCUUUGCAACAGACUCACUCAAUUGAUACAGCCGCACGGCCCCACUCACUGCGCAGGAUGCCCAGCCUCCAGUGGAACAGUGACUCAGAGGAACUGGUGAAGGACGAGCAGCUGCUUUCGGAGCUGGACGACAUGUCCUGGCUGAAGCGCAGGAAAAAGCGGGCUAUGCCUAGGAAUGUAUUUGAGGAGAUGAAGUAUUUGGAGAUUAUGAUCGUCAGUGACCAUAAUAUGUAUAAGCGACUCAAGACCAAGCAGCACACCAGAAACUCUGCCAAGUCAGUGGUGAACCUUGUUGAUGCUAUCUUUAAGGAGCACCUGCACACACGGGUGGUUCUGGUUGCCGUGGAGAUCUGGUCGGACAAGGACCCGAUUCCCAUCAGUGUGAAGCCUCUGGACAUGCUGAAAGAUUUCUCCAAGUACCGGGCGCAGAGCAUCAAGCAGCACACUGACGCUGUGCACCUCUUCUCCAAUGUGACCUUCCACUAUCGCCGAAGCAGUGUAGCGUACUUCGGGGGCAUGUGCUCUGUGAGCCGUGGAGUAGGGGUCAACGAGUAUGGCACCACAUGGACUAUGGCUUCGUCACUCUCCCAGAGCUUGGCACAGAACCUCGGCAUCCAGUGGGAUCCAGCCGCAAAGAGAAAGGAAUGCGGCUGCUCUGACUCCUGGGUGGGCUGCAUCAUGGAGGAUACUGGGGUCCAGCAUCCCCGGAAGUUCUCCAAGUGCAGCAUCUCAGACUACAAGGAGUUCCUGCUGAAGGGCGGUGGAUCGUGUCUCUAUAACAGGCCGACCAAGCUGUUUGAAUCUACAGAGUGUGGGAAUGGAUACAUUGAGGUGGGAGAGGAGUGUGACUGCGGAGAUAGAACAGAGUGCUACAAGGACUGCUGUAAGAAGUGUUCCCUAGCUAAUGGUGCACACUGCGCUGACGGACCUUGCUGCAACAACACUUGUCUGUUCUACCCACGUGGUUACAGUUGUCGCUAUGCGGUGAAUGACUGUGACAUCUCAGAGACAUGCUCAGGAGACUCUGGCCAGUGCCCUCCCAACCUCCACAAACAAGAUGGCUACCAAUGUCAAGUCGACCAGGGACGCUGCUACAGCGGAGAGUGCAAGACCAGAGGAAACCAGUGCAAAUAUCUCUGGGGCCCAAAGGCGGGAGGGUCUGAGAAGUUCUGCUACGAGAAGCUAAACACAGAAGGAACCGAGAAGGGUAACUGUGGAAAGGAUGGAGAUAAGUGGCUCCAAUGCAGCAAGCAUGAUGUGUUCUGUGGGUUCCUGCUGUGUAGUAACAUCGGACACAACCCCCGCAUCGGCAUGGUGAAGGGAGACAUCACUCGUACCUCCUUCAACCAUCAGGGCAGGCCGGUGAACUGCAGUGGUGGCCAUGUUCUUUUGGACGAUGAGACUGACUUAGGCUACGUGGAGGACGGAGCGCCCUGUGGGCCGUCCAUGAUGUGCCUUGACCACAAGUGUCUGCCCAUCCAGUCCCUCAACAUGAGCACCUGCCCCAGCGGGCCCAACGGCCAGGUGUGCUCAUCCCACGGGGUGUGUAACAACGAGGCGACGUGCACCUGUGACACCACCUGGGCGGGGACUGACUGCAGCAUGCCCGACCCUCCCAAGGAGCCUGCACCCACAGAAGACGAAGAACCAAAAGGUCCUAGUGCCACCAAUCUUAUAAUAGGCUCCAUCGCCGGUGCCAUCCUGGUGGCUGCCAUAGUGCUGGGAGGGACCGGAUGGGGCUUUAAGGUUCGAGGGUGAGAGUUUAAGCGGAAGUGGUGAGAGAGAAGCCAGGGCCAUAUUGUUGGCCGCAGCCUUUGUGUCAUGGCUGGCCACACCCACCUGGAUGGCCAGGCUCCGCCCUAGAGCAGAGCAGGACUCCCGGACCCGCCCACAACAGCUGCCAUUGCUGCCUGCUUCACAGACCUGAAAUGUGAAGAAGCGAAAGUACGACCCCAACGCCAGCGCCAUAUAAGGUUGGAGGAGAGGUCAGCGGGCACAGAGGAAACCUUCUGGGCUUCCUUAGUACUCGACAGCUGGACUGCACUUACUGCGGAGGAUUUUUUGGGCAUUAGAUUUACUUGAAAAAUACAUAGAGGACAAUUUAACAUUAUCCAUCUUAGUCAUGUAGAGAUGUAGCCUUUUUCAACCCUAACAACUGACCUAACAGCCUCACCCACCUACCUAACAACCCACCUAACAACCCACCUAACAACCUCACCCACCGACCUAACAACCCACCUAACAACCUCACCCACCUACCUAACAACCUCACCCCCACCUACCUAACAACCCAGCUAACAACCCCACCAACCUACCUAACAACCCACCUACUGAACAACCCACCAAACAACCUCACCCACCUACCUAACAACCCCACCCACCUAACAACCACACCCACCCACCUAACAACCACACCCACCCACCUAACAACCACACCUACCCACCUAACAACCACACCCACCUACCUAACAACCCCACUCACCUACCUAACAAUCCCACCCACAUACGUAACAACCCCUCCACCCACCUAACAACCCCACCUACCUACCUAACAUCCCACUCACCUACCUAACCACCCCACCCACUCACCUAACAACCCCACUCAUCUACCUAACAACCCCACCCACCUACCUAACAACCCCACCCACCUAACAACCCCACCCACAUACCUAACAACCCCUCCACCCACCUAACAACCCCACCCACCUCCCUAACAACCCCACCCACUUACCUAACAACCCCACUCACCUACCUAACAACCCCACCCACACACCUAACAACCCCACCCACCCACCUAACAACCCCACUCACCUACCUAACAACCACACCCACCUAACAACCCCACCCACCUACCUAACAACCCCACUCACCUACCUAACAAUCCGACCCACAUACGUAACAACCCCUCCACCCACCUAACAACCCCACCUACCUACCUAACAAUCCCACUCACCGACCUAACAACCCCACCCACUCACCUAACAACCCCACUCAUCUACCUAACAACCCCACCCACCUACCUAACAACCACACCCACCUACCUAACAACCCCACCCACCUAACAACCCCACCCACAUACCUAACAACCCCUCCACCCACCUAACAACCCCACCCACCUCCCUAACAACCCCACCCACCUACCUAACAACCCCACCCACACACCUAACAACCCCACCCACCCACCUAACAACCCCACUCACCUACCUAACAACCCCACCCACCUAACAACCCCGCUCCCCUAACAACCACACCCACCCACCUAACAACCCCACCCACCUAACAACCCCACCCACCUAACAACCCCACCCACCUACCUAACAACCCCACCCACCUACCUAACAACCCCACCCACCUAACAACCCCACUCACCUACCUAACAACCCCACUCACCUAACUAACAACUCCACCCACCUACCUAACAACCCCACCCACCUACCUAACAACCCCACCCACCUACCUAACAACCCCACCCACCUACCUAACAACCCCACCCACCUAACAACCACACCCACCUAACAACCCCACUCACCUAACAACCCCGCUCACCUAACAACCACACCUACCCACCUAACAACCCCACUCACCUAACAACCCCACCCACCCACCUAACAACCCCACCCACCUACCUAACAACCCCACUCACCUACCUAACAACCACACCCACCUAACAACCCCACCCACCUACCUACCUAACAACCCCACCCACAUACCUAACAACCCCUCCACCCACCUCCCUAACAACCCCACCCACCUACCUAACAACCCCACCCACAUACCUAACAACCCCACCCACCUACCUAACAACCCCACCCACAUACCUAACAACCCCACUCACCUACCUAACAACCCCACUCAUCUACCUAACAACCCCACCCACCUACCUAACAACCCUACCCACAUACCUAAUAACCCCACUCACCUACCUAACAACCCCACUCAUCUACCUAACAACCCCACUCACCUACCUAACAACCCCACUCAUCUUCCGAACAACCCCACUCACCUAACUAACAACUCCACCCACACACCUAACAACCCCUCACCUAACAACCACACCCACCCACCCAACAACCCCGCUCACCUAACAACCACACCCACCCACCUAACAACCCCACCCACCUCCAUAACAACCCCACUCACCUAACAACCACACCCACCCACCUAACAACCCAACCCACCUACCUAACAACCACACCCACCCACCUAACAACCCCGCUCACCUAACAACGACACCCACCCACCUAACAACCCCACCCACCUCCAUAACAACCCCACUCACCUAACAACCAAACCACACCCACCCACCUAAAAACCCCACCCACCUACCUAACAACCCCACUCACCUAACAACCCCACCAAUGGCGGACUGGUCGUCAGGAGCCCCAGGACAUUCCCGGUGGCCUGAGGGUUGUUUGGGACUGCUGUGAAUAGUCAACUUGACCAGCGAUAAUAUAGCAAGCAGGAAUUAGUUGACGGAGAAUCCACGAAUCAGGUGCGACUCUGACACUCUUGCUGCAGUGUCCCAGUGCCAAAAAUGACCUCAGGUCUCUCCACGACGCACAUAGCAACCGUCUACCUGCUUCUCUACCGAUAACAUUUUAGACAAGUCGCACGGCGAAAUGGUCAGAAAAGGAAAAGUGGAGCAGAGAGGGAGAGAAUAAAAAACAGAAAGGCCCUUGCCACAGUCAAAAACACUAGCUAAAACACACACACACUGACACACACACGUCACCCAGCAUGGCUAGCUAAGUAGCCUAGCUAAAAAUAGUGACACAAUGGCAGGUAGGCUAAACAGUUUGCACGUCUUACGUCUUCGUGGAGGAAUUAUAUCAUAGCAAUCAGUGCAACAUAGGGAUCAUAAUAUGACAUUGAAGGCAAUAUGUUUCACCUAGUGAAACAUAGUAAACCUAGACUAUGGACUUGCCAGGAUUCGGUCAUGACUCAUGCCACAUAAGCGAAGGAAAGUGCACAUCCACUGUACAGUGAAACAGGCUACAGUAACCUAACCAUAAUGCAUCCAUGAACAUAACACAGUAGCCUGUGUGACACAGCACAGGCAAUGACAAAGAUCAUUAGCGCCAUUAGUACCAGCAUUACAAUUUACUACGAUAAUAUACAGCUCUGGGGGAAAAUUAAGAGACCACUCCAAAUUAAGAGAACACUCCAAAUUAAGAGACCACUCCAAAUUAAGAGAACACUCCAAAUUAAGAGAACACUCCAAAUUAAGAGACCACUCCAAAUUAAGAGAACACUCCAAAUUAAGAGACCACUCCAAAUUAAGAGACCACUCCAAAUCAAGAGACCAUUCUUAAUUUUUCCCAGAGCUGUAUUAAUGUAGCCUACUGAUACACUAAUGAUAGUAUGAUAAUAGAGUAUUUUCUUUGUAAAGGUGCAGAAGGAAGCAGCAGCACUAGAGCUUCAGGUUCCUGCAGAACUGGAGGUGGUGGUCAGUUCAGAGUCAGACUCAGAGCAGGAGCCUUCAACUACAAUUUAAGAGCACAAACCUAAACAUGGAGGCUAUGAUUUUAGAUUAAUAUGUGCUUUAUUUAUGAGAUUAUCAGUAGGACUGUAAUCGGGGGCCAUACCUUGUACAUUUGUAUGUGCUAUGAUUGGUGUAUUCCCAGAGAGUUUAUGAGUGUGCACCCAUAGCCAUAGCAUACCUUGAGAACUCAGUGUUCACCCACCUUCCUAACAACCCCACACACUUACCUAACAACCCACCUAACAACCCCACACACCUACCUAACAACCCACCUAACAAUCCCUCCCACCUAUCUAACAACCCCAUCCACUUACCUAACAACCCACCUAACAACCCCACCCACCCACCUAACAACCCCACCCACCUACCAAACAACCCCACCCACAUACCUAACAACCCCACCCACCCACCCACCUAACAACCCCACCCACCUACCUAAAAACCCCACCCACCUACAUAACAACCCACCUAACAACCCCACCCACCUACCUAACAACCCCAAACAACCCCACCCACCCACCUAACAACCCCACCCACCUACCUAAAAACCACACCCACCUACCUAACAACCCACCUACCUAACAAUCCACCUUCCGGGACUCCCGGGUGGCACAGUUGUCUAAGGCACUGCAUCGCAACAAUCUAACAACCCCACCAACCCUACCUAACAACCCACCUACCUAACAACCCAACAAUCUAACAACCCACCUUCCGAACAACCCAACAAUCUAACAACCCAACAAUCUAACAACCCCACCAACCCAACAAUCCAACAAUCUAACAACCCACCUUCCUAACAACCCACCUACCUAACAACCCAACAAUCUAACAACCCACCUUCCGAACAACCCAACAAUCUAACAACCCAACAAUCUAACAACCCCACCAACCCUACCUAACAACCCACCUUCCUAACAACCCACCUUCCGAACAACCCACCUACCUAACAACCCACGUUCCGAACAACCCAACAAUAUAACAACCCAACAAUCUAACAACCCACCUUCCGAACAACCCAACAAUCUAACAACCCAACAAUCUAACAACCCCACCAACCCUACCUAACAACCCACAUACCAAACAACCCACCUUCCGAACAACCCACCUACCUAACAACCCACCUACCUAACAACCCACCUUCCGAACAACCCAACAAUCUAACAACCCACCUUCCGAACAACCCAACAAUCUAACAACCCCACCAACCCUACCUAACAACCCCACCAUCUAACAACACCACCCGGAUAUCUAUAGCCACACAACUCCUCUCUUCUGAUCGCCAGUCCACAGAGGUUCACCAGGCAUGAUUUCCCUCACAGAGCGUGCAGCUCGCUGGCCCUGGCAUGCGGAGCCCUCGCAAAGAACUGCACGGCAAAGCUAUGAACAGCACACAGCAAAAAGAGAGAUCUACUGAAUCAUCAAAUGGAGGAGAUGGCCUCAUAAGAAUGGGAAAUACAGAACACGUUCAAUAAAUGGAAAUAUAUACAUUGGGCAAGAUUGUACAUAAAAGAGGAACUAGAGUCCAGCUUCUGAAUUAUAACAUAAUUUCUGCUUUGGGUUUAUUUUAAGCAUGUUGUAUAGCGGGUGUUUAUGGUAAUGUUAAUGAAAAAAAACAGUAACGGAAUUAUGAUUUGGUCCAAAAUGCUAUGGAUAUCCAGAGAAUGUAAUGAUCUACCUAUUAGGUGUUCAGCAAAGUUAUCACUCGUUACACACUGUAUUUAUCCAAUAUAGAGGUCAAGGGUCAGGGUCAGUAUACAUGGGACAGAGCAGAGGUCAGAUUUAAAGGUGUCUUCUCCGGAGGUCAGAUUUAGGGGUGUCUUCUCUAGAGGUCAGAUUUAGGGGUGUCUUCUCUAGAGGUCAGAUUUAGGGGUGUCUUCUCUAGAGGUCAGAUUUAGGGGUGCUUCUCUCGAGGUCAGAUUUAGGGGUAUACAGUACAUGUGUCUUCUCUAAAGGUCAGGGCACAGUGAUAAUGACACAUGACACAGUCUAUGAAUGACGUCAUCGGGUUCCUUAAGUACUUCCAGUAGUGACUCAAAAUCCAAAGAAUCAAUCACGUGGAAUGUUUGGAUGUUGUCGCACACAGAGCACUUUCCCCAUAGUCUGUUCCUCUCUCUCACAGUGCUGCAGACAGACACACAGUGUGUCCCUGCAGACGAGUUCCACCUGUCUGAUCAAGUGGUGUCACUAUUUAACAGUCCUCAUCAACACCCACUAUACUGGCUGGCUUGUGCUCUCAUAAACUCUUACUGGAAAUCAAGUUCAUCUCUGCUGGUACGCUGCAUGUAUUCACACUAUAGUGGGCUUAUAAUUCUAUAAGGGAGUCCCAAUUCCGCAAGAUAAAAUAUGCUGCUAAAGAUAGGUGCAUGUCAACAAAACAAAAUAUUUACAUUUUAUUUCUAUGCAAAGAAAGAUAUUGCACAAACUUAUGGGGUUAUUACAUGAAAUAAUGAAUUCAGUAUAAACAUGGAAUAAAAAACCUCUGCGAAUCAGCCAACAUUUUGUAUUCAGCUAUUCCCACAUCUCAUUUCGCUUCAAAGUACUGAAAUAAAGAAUGACAAUGUGCAUCAUUGAAUCAACAUGUCCAAGUGAAAAGCGAAAGAACAUCCUUUUACAUUUGUGGAAUCGAAGAAAAUAUAUAUUUUGUGUGUUUUUCAACCUAUCUAAAAAUGACUAUUACAAAUCUGACAUACUGUAUGUGCCGAGGCCUCAACAGGUUACAUUUCCAGGACUUUAGUUUCCAGCUCAGCUGACAGACAGUUGGUGUAUUCCAAGUGCUGCCAUAGCACUGGCAGUGUGUAAAACUCCAUGUUAGUCAUCAUAUCUCGUGUCCCUAUCAACACUGCAUCAUGUACAGUUGGACCGACGAAUAAACUACUGAAAUAUUUUA